UACGGGGGGGGCAAGCGUUGUUCGGAAUUACUGGGCGUAAAGGGCUCGUAGGCGGCCAACUAAGUCAGACGUGAAAUCCCCCGGCUUAACCAGGGAACUGCGUCUGAUACUGGAUGGCUUGAGUUUGGGAGAGGGAUGCGGAAUUCCAGGUGUAGCGGUGAAAUGCGUAGAUAUCUGGAGGAACACCGGUGGCGAAGGCGGCAUCCUGGACCGGUAUUGACGCUGAGGCGCGAAAGCUAGGGGAGCAAACGGG
rnacentral:rRNA from 1 species